UGACCGGAGCUAGGGCUCUGGUGGUGUGUUGGCAACUUCCCAACCAUUUGAUCUUGAUUCCACGUUUUAAUCUUGGCCUUUAUUUUGUUUGGCUCAUGUUGCAGCGCGCUUGACUCAUGUGUUUGGUGCACCUUAGCGCGUGGCCAUCAGAUCUGCCACCUCAAUUAAUGAGGGAGAUCUGAUGGCCCUUGUUUUUUUGAAUAUCUUUUUAUUUUCUAAUUUUUCAUUUAAUCCAUUUAUUUUGUUUAAUUCAUAUUAAUUUCAUUUUUAAUCCAA
rnacentral:lncRNA from 1 species